rnacentral:rRNA from 1 species
GCACAAGCGGCGGAGCAUGCGGAUUAAUUCGAUGCAACGCGAAGAACCUUACCAAGGCUUGACAUACACCGGUAACGCCCAGAGAUGGGUGCCCCUUUGUGGUCGGUGGACAGGUGGUGCAUGGUUGUCGUCAGCUCGUGUCGUGAGAUGUUGGGUUAAGUCCCGCAACGAGCGCAACCCUCGUCCUAUGUUGCCAGCGGGUCAUGCCGGGGACUCAUGGGAGACUGCCGGGGUCAACUCGGAGGAAGGUGGGGAUGACGUCAAAUCAUCAUGCCCCUUAUGUCUUGGGCUUCACGCAUGCUACAAUGGCCGGUACAAAGGGCUGCGAUACCGCGAGGUGGAGCGAAUCCCAGAAAGCCGGUCUCAGUUCGGAUUGGGGUCUGCAACUCGACCCCAUGAAGUCGGAGUCGCUAGUAAUCGCAGAUCAGCAACGCUGCGGUGAAUACGUUCCCGGGCCUU